rnacentral:rRNA from 1 species
CGAUUUUGACCAGCGGAGGAUCAUUA